rnacentral:rRNA from 1 species
UACGUAGGGGGCAAGCGUUGUCCGGAAUCAUUGGGCGUAAAGAGCGCGUAGGCGGUCCGGUAAGUCCGCUCUGAAAGCCCGGGGCUCAACCCCGGGAGGCGGGCGGAUACUGUCGGGCUAGAGUCCGGAAGAGGCGAGUGGAAUUCCUGGUGUAGCGGUGAAAUGCGCAGAUAUCAGGAGGAACACCGGUGGCGAAGGCGGCCUACUGGGCCAGCACUGACGCUGAGGCGCGAAAGCUCGGGGAGCGAACGGG